UGGGGAAUUUUGGACAAUGGGGGAAACCCUGAUCCAGCCAUCCCGCGUGUGCGAUGAAGGCCUUCGGGUUGUAAAGCACUUUUGGCAGGAAAGAAACGUCGCGGGUUAAUACCCCGCGGAACUGACGGUACCUGCAGAAUAAGCACCGGCUAGCUACGUGCCAGCAGCCGCGGUAAUACGUAGGGUGCAAGCGUUAAUCGGAAUUACUGGGCGUAAAGCGUGCGCAGGCGGUUCGGAAAGAAAGAUGUGAAAUCCCAGAGCUUAACUUUGGAACUGCAUUUUUUAACUACCGGGCUAGAGUGUGUCAGAGGGAGGUGGAAUUCCGCGUGUAGCAGUGAAAUGCGUAGAUAUGCGGAGGAACACCGAUGGCGAAGGCAGCCUCCUGGGAUAACACUGACGCUCAUGCACGAAAGCGUGGGGAGCAAACAGGAUUAGAUACCCUGGUAGUCCACGCCCUAAACGAUGUCAACUAGCUGUUAGGGUCUUCGGACCUUGGUAGCGCAGCUAACGCGUGAAGUUGACCGCCUGGGGAGUACGGUCGCAAGAUU
rnacentral:rRNA from 1 species